GUAGCUUGCUACCUGACCUAGCGGCGGACGGGUGAGUAAUGCUUAGGAAUCUGCCUAUUAGUGGGGGACAACAUUCCGAAAGGAAUGCUAAUACCGCAUACGCCCUACGGGGGAAAGCAGGGGAUCUUCGGACCUUGCGCUAAUAGAUGAGCCUAAGUCAGAUUAGCUAGUUGGUGGGGUAAAGGCCUACCAAGGCGACGAUCUGUAGCGGGUCUGAGAGGAUGAUCCGCCACACUGGGACUGAGACACGGCCCAGACUCCUACGGGAGGCAGCAGUGGGGAAUAUUGGACAAUGGGCGAAAGCCUGAUCCAGCCAUGCCGCGUGUGUGAAGAAGGCCUUUUGGUUGUAAAGCACUUUAAGCGAGGAGGAGGCUACUUGGAUUAAUACUCUAGGAUAGUGGACGUUACUCGCAGAAUAAGCACCGGCUAACUCUGUGCCAGCAGCCGCGGUAAUACAGAGGGUGCGAGCGUUAAUCGGAUUUACUGGGCGUAAAGCGUGCGUAGGCGGCUUUUUAAGUCGGAUGUGAAAUCCCUGAGCUUAACUUAGGAAUUGCAUUCGAUACUGGGAAGCUAGAGUAUGGGAGAGGAUGGUAGAAUUCCAGGUGUAGCGGUGAAAUGCGUAGAGAUCUGGAGGAAUACCGAUGGCGAAGGCAGCCAUCUGGCCUAAUACUGACGCUGAGGUACGAAAGCAUGGGGAGCAAACAGGAUUAGAUACCCUGGUAGUCCAUGCCGUAAACGAUGUCUACUAGCCGUUGGGGCCUUUGAGGCUUUAGUGGCGCAGCUAACGCGAUAAGUAGACCGCCUGGGGAGUACGGUCGCAAGACUAAAACUCAAAUGAAUUGACGGGGGCCCGCACAAGCGGUGGAGCAUGUGGUUUAAUUCGAUGCAACGCGAAGAACCUUACCUGGUCUUGACAUAGUAAGAACUUUCCAGAGAUGGAUUGGUGCCUUCGGGAACUUACAUACAGGUGCUGCAUGGCUGUCGUCAGCUCGUGUCGUGAGAUGUUGGGUUAAGUCCCGCAACGAGCGCAACCCUUUUCCUUAUUUGCCAGCGGGUUAAGCCGGGAACUUUAAGGAUACUGCCAGUGACAAACUGGAGGAAGGCGGGGACGACGUCAAGUCAUCAUGGCCCUUACGACCAGGGCUACACACGUACUACAAUGGUCGGUACAAAGGGUUGCUACCUAGCGAUAGGAUGCUAAUCUCAAAAAGCCGAUCGUAGUCCGGAUUGGAGUCUGCAACUC
rnacentral:rRNA from 1 species